rnacentral:tRNA from 1 species
GCAGUGGUGGUUCAGUGGUGGAGCUCUUGUCUUCCAUGCGGGAGACUCUGGUUCAAUUCCCAGCCAAUGUA